rnacentral:tRNA from 1 species
GGCGGCAUAGCCAAGUGGCUAAGGCACGGGAUUGCAAAUCCUCGAUCGCCGGUUCGAAUCCGGCUGCCGCCU